UACCAGCUCCCCGAGUGGUUGGGACGAUUAUUGGGUCUAAAGCGUCCGUAGCCGGCCGGAAAAGUUCCCCGUUAAAUCCAACGAUCCAAUCGUUGGGCUGCGGGGAAUACUUUUCGGCUUGGGGGCGAGGGAGGUCGGCGGUAGUCCCGGGGUAGGGGCGAAAUCCUAUAAUCCCGGGAGGACCACCAGUGGCGAAGGCGGCCGACUAAAACGCGCCCGACGGUGAGGGACGAAAGCUGGGGGAG
rnacentral:rRNA from 1 species